CCUACGGGAGGCAGCAGUGGGGAAUAUUGCACAAUGGGGGAAACCCUGAUGCAGCGACGCCGCGUGAGUGAAGAAGUAAUUCGUUAUGUAAAGCUCUAUCAGCAGGGAAGAAAAUGACGGUACCUGAGUAAGAAGCCCCGGCUAACUACGUGCCAGCAGCCGCGGUAAUCCGUAGGGGGCAAGCGUUAUCCGGAUUUACUGGGUGUAAAGGGAGCGUAGACGGCAGGGCAAGGCUGGAGGGAAAGGCGGGGGCGGAACACCCGGACUGCACUGGAAACUGUACGGCGGGAGUGCAGGAGAGGGAAGAGGAAGUCCUAGUGUAGCGGGGAAAUGCGUAGAUAUUAGGAGGAACACCAGUGGCGAAGGCGGCGUACUGGACUGUAACUGACGGGGAGGCUAGAAAGCGUGGGGAGCAAACAGGAUUAGAUACCCCAGUAGUC
rnacentral:rRNA from 1 species